rnacentral:tRNA from 1 species
GCCACCUUGGCGGAACUGGCAGACGCGCUGGAUUCAAAAUCCAGUGAGGUUCACCCCUCGUCCGAGUUCGACCCUCGGAGGUGGCACCA